AGCGAACGCUGGCGGCAGGCUUAACACAUGCAAGUCGAGCGGGCGUAGCAAUACGUCAGCGGCAGACGGGUGAGUAACGCGUGGGAACGUACCUUUUGGUUCGGAACAACACAGGGAAACUUGUGCUAAUACCGGAUAAGCCCUUACGGGGAAAGAUUUAUCGCCGAAAGAUCGGCCCGCGUCUGAUUAGCUAGUUGGUAGGGUAAUGGCCUACCAAGGCGACGAUCAGUAGCUGGUCUGAGAGGAUGAUCAGCGACAUUGGGACUGGGACACGGCCCAAACUCCUACGGGAGGCAGCAGUGGGGAAUAUUGGACAAUGGGGGCAACCCUGAUCCAGCCAUGCCGCGUGAGCGAUGAAGGCCCUAGGGUUGUAAAGCUCUUUUGUGCGGGAAGAUAAUGACGGUACCGCAAGAAUAAGCCCCGGCUAACUUCGUGCCAGCCGCCGCCGUAA
rnacentral:rRNA from 1 species